UUUUCAAACACUCCUUGUAUACCAGUAGGGGUGGGCAUUGGGGUAAGCCGUUUGUAUUUGGGUAAAACCCAAUCGGAUACCAAUCCUUCGGAUAAAGAAGUUUAAGAUCCAAUAGGGUAAAUCUAAAUUAUCAGUUCGGUUUCGGUUCGGUUCCAGUCGGGUUCAGAUAAGUUUGGUGUAGAAUUUCAGGCUCUUUUGGAACCGAUACCAGAAUUUUCGAUUUUUAGGUAAAUAUAUGGAUUUUCGGGUAAAAUUUUGGGUUUCGGAUAAAAUUUAGAUUUUCGAAUAAAAUAUUCAGGUAUUUUCGGGUAGAGGAAUUUAGGACCCAAUAGGGUACAUCUUCGGGUUCAGUUUUGGGUCCAAUUUUUUGGGUCGGUUCCGGUUCAGGUAAUCGGAUCCAGUUUUUUUUUCCCCAGCCCUAAUACCAUUAUCGUCAAUGUUUCCUACUUACUUUUGGAUCCGCUCUCAAGUGUGAUUCAAGUAACUUAUAGUUUGAAUAUA
rnacentral:sRNA from 1 species